UCCUCCAUUUCUAGCUAAUGAAUUGCAGUCAAAACUUCUCAGACCUAGUCCCCAGUUUGCCUCAUCCUGAAGUUCCAGAUUGGUUCCUGUCACUGAAAUCUGCAAUGAGGAAAAGCAUUACAGAAUCACAACUUUUCAAGCUAUAGUGAUUGAAUUGUGAUUAACUUGAUUCACUAAACAUCGAUUCAUCUCUUCUUAGAUAUCUAAAGUCAUACACUAAUUGGCAGAACCCCGGAAUCUAGUGGGCAAAGAAACCUGUGAUGUAGGCCAAGUGGAAGAGUCUCCAAGGACAUUGAAAAAGAUGAUAAUGGUAGGAAUUGGAUCCAGAGAAUGAAUGAAUGAAUGAAUGAAUAAACGGUUACACAUGUAUAAUAUUAUAUAUAGUGUUAUACACAUUUACAUAUAAUGUAUAUAGGUAUAUAUUUUUAACUAUGUUAAUAUAACUGUAUAUCUAUAUCUAUAUUUAUAUAUGUAUCAUCUAUAUCUAGCUCAGUUCUACCACUAAAGCAAGGUUACCUCUUGUUAACUCAUUUUCUCCUGCAAAGUAGAAAUAUGUCUCCUUGUGACUCUCACAUUUGUUCAAAUUCUUAUUCUUAACUCUCCAGAGC